rnacentral:lncRNA from 1 species
CCAAUCAUACCAAAAAUAUUUAAACUAUCUCUACCACCAACUACUAUCAGAGAUGCCAAUAGAUACGAAUACUCUAAAAAUUUUUCGGACCCGAAUCCGAACGGAAUAGAUUUAUCCGAUACUAAAAUAGAUAUAGUUUUAGAUAUGAAUAUCAGGAACAAAAAUUUGAUGGAUUUGAAUUCGAAUAUGAUUUUUGAUUAUAUCCGAUCCAAACCGAACCAGAAUUGAUUUUACAUAUAUAUAUAUAUAUAUAAUAUUAAUUAAUUAUAUAUAUAUAUAUAUAUAUAUAUUAUAUAUAUAUAUAUAGUCAGCUACUAUACUAUCGAUAGUACCAAGCCUUUUACUAUUGAGUUUCUACCGUAUAUCUAUCUUCAAUCAUUCCACCCGUUAGAUUAUACUAUUAAACCAACCACCCACUCAACCCUAGGGAACCACUAUCAAUUUAACUGGGGACCACUAUCUUCCUAACCACAUAUCUUUUCAUCCAACGGCCAAAAACUCAAUAGUACCAAAGGCCUGAUACUAUUGAUAGUAUAAUAGCAUAAUUCUAUAUAUAUAUAUAUAUAUAUAUAUAUAUAGCCGAUCGUCAAUUUGGAAGUUCUAUCAUCGAAAACAAACCAGUAGUAAAACAGCUCGUUUACUACCGAUAGUAUUCUAGCAAAACUCUCUCUCUCUCUCUCUCUCUCUCUCUCUCUCUAUAUAUAUAUAUAUAUGUUUGAUAUUAUAUUUGAAUUUAUAAUUUAAAAUUGUAGAUUUAAUAUAAUAUGUCAUGAGAUAUUAUAAAGAGAAAUAAUUACUACGAGUUCGAAUUUUCGGGUUCGAAUUCGGAUUUUUGGUCAAGUUCGGGUUUGGAUAUGAUUUUUUUAAAAUUUGUCGGAUUCGGAUUCAAACUUGGGUUUUGAAUUUGACGAUCGGGUUCAGAUUCAGAUUUUUAAAAAUCUGCUCGAAUUCGAUCAGUUGACAUCCCUAACUCAUAUAU